GCUUGUCUCAAAGAUUAAGCCAUGCAUGUCUAAGUAUAAACUAUUUUAUACUGUGAAACUGCGAAUGGCUCAUUAAAUCAGUUAUCGUUUAUUUGAUGAUCUCUUACUACUUGGAUAACCGUAGUAAUUCUAGAGCUAAUACAUGCACAAAAUCCCGACUUACGAAGGGAUGUAUUUAUUAGAUACAAACCAACAUCGUGGUGAUUCAUAAUAACUCCUCGAAUCGCAUGGCCUUGCGCCGGCGAUGUUUCAUUCAAAUUUCUGCCCUAUCAAUUUGAUGGUAGGAUAGAGGCCUACCAUGGUGGUAACGGGUGACGGAGAAUUAGGGUUCGAUUCCGGAGAGGGAGCCUGAGAAACGGCUACCACAUCCAAGGAAGGCAGCAGG
rnacentral:rRNA from 1 species